rnacentral:rRNA from 1 species
UGCCCUAGUAACGGCGAGUGAAGCGGCAAGAGCUCAAAUUUGAAAUCUGGCUCCUUUGGGGUCCGAGUUGUAAUUUGUAGAGGGUGCUUUGGUGUUGACUAUGGCCUAAGUUCCUUGGAACAGGACGUCUUAGAGGGUGAGAACCCCGUACGUGGCCUCUAGCCUUCACCGUGUAAAGCCCCUUCGACGAGUCGAGUUGUUUGGGAAUGCAGCUCUAAAUGGGAGGUAAAUUUCUUCUAAAGCUAAAUAUUGGCCAGAGACCGAUAGCGCACAAGUAGAGUGAUCGAAAGAUGAAAAGCACUUUGGAAAGAGAGUCAAAAAGCACGUGAAAUUGUUGAAAGGGAAGCGCUUGCAGCCAGACUUGCCCGUAGUCGCUCAUCCGAGCUCUUGCUCGGUGCACUCUUCUGCGGGCAGGCCAGCAUCAGUCCGGGCGGUCGGAUAAAGGCUCUGGGAAUGUAGCUCUCUUCGGGGAGUGUUAUAGCCCAGGGUGUCAUGCGACCAGCCUGGACUGAGGUCCGCGCAUCUGCUAGGAUGCUGGCGUAAUGGCUGUAAGCGGCCCGUCUUGAAACACGGACCAAGGAGUCUAACAUCUAUGCGAGUGUUUGGGUGUCAAGCCCGGGCGCGCAAUGAAAGUGAACGGAGGUGGGAGCCUUUGGGUGCACCAUCGACCGAUCCUGAUGUCUUCGGAUGGAUUUGAGUAAGAGCAUAGCUGUUGGGACCCGAAAGAUGGUGAACUAUGCCUGAAUAGGGUGAAGCCAGAGGAAACUCUGGUGGAGGCUCGCAGCGGUUCUGACGUGCAAAUCGAUCGUCAAAUUUG